AAAAAAGGUAAGCUACUAAGAGCGAAUGGUGGAUGCCUUGACUGGUAAAGGCGAUGAAGGACGUACUAGACUGCGAUAAGCUACGGGGAGCUGUCAAGAAGCUUUGAUCCGUAGAUUUCCGAAUGGGGCAACCCAAUGUAUAGAGAUAUACAUUACCUAUAUAGGAGCGAACGAGGGGAAUUGAAACAUCUUAGUACUCUCAGGAAAAGAAAUCAAUAGAGAUUGCGUCAGUAGCGGCGAGCGAAAGCGCAAGAGGGCAAACCCAGUGCUUGCACUGGGGGUUGUAGGACUGCAAUGUGCAAGAGGUAAGUUUAGCAGAACAUUCUGGAAAGUAUAGCCAUAGAGGGUGAUAGUCCCGUAUGCGAAAAACAAAGCUUAGCUAGCAGUAUCCUGAGUAGGGCGGGACACGAGAAAUCCUGUCUGAAUCCGGGUCGACCACGAUCCAACCCUAAAUACUAAUACCAGAUCGAUAGUGCACAAGUACCGUGAGGGAAAGGUGAAAAGAACUGAGGUGAUCAGAGUGAAAUAGAACCUGAAACCAUUUGCUUACAAUCAUUCAGAGCACUAUGUAGCAAUACAGUGUGAUGGACUGCCUUUUGCAUAAUGAGCCUGCGAGUUGUGGUGUCUGGCAAGGUUAAGCAAACGCGAAGCCGUAGCGAAAGCGAGUCUGAAUAGGGCGCUUAGUCAGAUGCUGCAGACCCGAAACGAAGUGAUCUAUCCAUGAGCAAGUUGAAGCUAGUGUAAGAACUAGUGGAGGACUGAACCCAUAGGCGUUGAAAAGCCCCGGGAUGACUUGUGGAUAGGGGUGAAAGGCCAAUCAAACUUCGUGAUAGCUGGUUCUCUCCGAAAUAUAUUUAGGUAUAGCGUUGUGUCGUAAUAUAAGGGGGUAGAGCACUGAAUGGGCUAGGGCAUACACCAAUGUACCAAACCCUAUCAAACUCCGAAUACCUUAUAUGUAAUCACAGCAGUCAGGCGGCGAGUGAUAAAAUCCGUCGUCAAGAGGGAAACAACCCAGACUACCAGCUAAGGUCCCUAAAUCUUACUUAAGUGGAAAACGAUGUGAAGUUACUUAAACAACCAGGAGGUUGGCUUAGAAGCAGCCAUCCUUUAAAGAAAGCGUAAUAGCUCACUGGUCUAGUGAUUUUGCGCGGAAAAUAUAACGGGGCUAAAGU
rnacentral:rRNA from 1 species